rnacentral:rRNA from 1 species
GUUUAUCAAAAACAUGUCUUUUUGAAUUUAAUUUAAAGUCUAGCCUGCCCACUGAAUAAAUUUAAAUGGCCGCAGUAUCCUAACUGUGCAAAGGUAGCAUAAUCAUUAGUCUUUUAAUUGAAGGCUGGAAUGAAUGGUUGGAUGAAAUAUUAACUGUUUCAUAAAAAUUUAUAAUAGAAUUUUAUUUUUUAGUCAAAAAGCUAAAAUAGGAUUAAAAGACGAGAAGACCCUAUAAAUCUUUGUAUUAUAUUGGGGUGAUAUUAAAAUUUGAUAAACUUUUAAUUUAUAAGUUACAUAAAUUAAUGAAUUAUUGAUCCAUUUAUUAUGAUUAGAAAAUUAAGUUACUUUAGGGAUAACAGCGUAAUUUUUUUAGAGAGCUCAUAUUGAUAAAAAAGAUUGCGACCUCGAUGU